rnacentral:rRNA from 1 species
GAUCUGGCUCAGGAUGAACGCUAGCGGCAGGCUUAACACAUGCAAGUCGAGGGGCAGCAUUCGGGUAGCAAUACCUGAGAUGGCGACCGGCGCACGGGUGCGUAACGCGUAUGCAACCUACCCAUAACAGGGGCAUAACACUGAGAAAUUGGUACUAAUUCCCCAUAACAUUCGAAGAGGCAUCUUUUCGGGUUGAAAACUACGGUGGUUAUGGAUGGGCAUGCGUUGUAUUAGCUGG